rnacentral:rRNA from 1 species
AUUGAACGCUGGCGGCAGGCCUAACACAUGCAAGUCGAGCGGAUGAAGGGAGCUUGCUCCUGGAUUCAGCGGCGGACGGGUGAGUAAUGCCUAGGAAUCUGCCUGGUAGUGGGGGAUAACGUCCGGAAACGGGCGCUAAUACCGCAUACGUCCUGAGGGAGAAAGUGGGGGAUCUUCGGACCUCACGCUAUCAGAUGAGCCUAGGUCGGAUUAGUUAGUUGGUGGGGUAAAGGCCUACCAAGGCGACGAUCCGUAACUGGUCUGAGAGGAUGAUCAGUCACACUGGAACUGAGACACGGUCCAGACUCCUACGGGAGGCAGCAGCGGGGAAUAUUGGACAAUGGGCGAAAGCCUGAUCCAGCCAUGCCGCGUGUGUGAAGAAGGUCUUCGGAUUGUAAAGCACUUUAAGUUGGGAGGAAGGGCAGUAAGUUAAUACCUUGCUGUUUUGACGUUACCAACAGAAUAAGCACCGGCUAACUUCGUG